rnacentral:rRNA from 1 species
UCUGGUGGCGAUGCGCUUAGGGGGAACACCCGUACACAUCCCGAACACGAUGGUUAAGACUUAAGCGGCCGAGAAUACUGCAUUGGAGACGAUGUGGGAACGUAGGUGGCUGCCAGAU